UACGGAGGGGUUAGCGUUGUUCGGAAUGACUGGGCGUAAAGCGCGCGUAGGCGGAUCAGGAAGUUGGGGGUGAAAUCCCGGGGCUCAACCCCGGAAUGGCCUUCAAAACUCCUGGUCUUGAGUUCGAGAGAGGUGAGUGGAAUUCCGAGUGUAGAGGUGAAAUUCGUAGAUAUUCGGAGGAACACCAGUGGCGAAGGCGGCUCACUGGUCCAUUACUGACGCUGGAGGUGCGAAAGCGUGGGGAGCAAACAGG
rnacentral:rRNA from 1 species